rfam:Triticum aestivum genome assembly, contig: Triticum_aestivum_CS42_TGACv1_scaffold_408070_5BL
CUUAUACUUCCUCCGUCCGAAAAUACUUGUCAUCAAAACAAAUAAAAAUGGGUGUAUCUAGAACUAAAAUAUGUCUAGAUACAUCUUCUUUCAUCCAUUUUGAUGACAAGUAUUUGCGGACGGAGGGAGUAGUAC